AUGGGAUGGUCGUUACUUGUGACAAUAUCCAAUCGCCUCUCAACGGCAGUGACAAUGAUGGCAAAAGGUGUUCUGAAAGAGCAUCUUAUCCUCCUGGAAAAUAGCAUGACAUGUGCAGGAAAUUUCGUGGGAUUCAAUUCGAGUGGGUACAAAGCACUAUCUCGGGCAUUGAAUAUUCAAGUACCAUUUACGGAAGCAACACUGUUUACACCAAGAAAGUGUUUUGAGAGAGCAGCUGAAAAGUGCCACAUGGAUUCGUUGGCAAGCAUAGUUGCGUCAUGUUCCUGGGGUAAACAUGUUGCUGUGGGUACUGGCGCGAGGUUUGAUGUCCUGUGGGACAGAAGAGAGGUAGAAUUGACUCAAGAGGGUGGACUUGAUGUUUUCAACUUUCUGCAUAUGGUGAGCACUGCAAACGUAGAAGAAGCAACUACAGGAGCUCUCGGUGCAGAAGUUGAUGAUCUAAUGCUAGUUGAUGAAAUGGCAGAUUCAAGCUUCUCGCCAGAACUCAACUCCAGCUUUGAUAGGCCUGUCUUCGAAGAUCUUGUUGAAUUUGAUGAUAAAUUAGGAGAUCUUCCCGAAAAAUCAAACUGGGAAAAGGAUUCCUCCUUCCACACUGAUUCUAAUGGGGGGAAAGACUGGAGCAUCGACAAAAAUGUGGGAACUGUGGCAGUACCUGACGUUUGGUCAAGCUGGGGUACAGAGAAAGGGAAAACACAAGAUAGCAACUCAGCAGAAGCCCAGUUGGAUUCCAAGAAAUCCAGUGUUUUGGAUACCUCGUCUGCGUGGGGGAAAAAUCCAGCAAAAGAAAAUACGACAUCUACAUGGGGGACAACUACGGCAAGUGAAAAUGAUUGGUGUGGUAGAGGGGUAGGUGAGGAUGAUUCUGUAAGCUUGUCUGGGAAGAAAUCUGGUGUUUUGAAUACCUCAUCUGCGUGGGCGACAAGUGCUGCCAGAGAAGAUGCUGCAUCUGCCUGGGGAACAAAUCCAGCAAAAGAAAAUACCACAUCUACAUGGGGCACAACUACGGCAAGUGAAAAUGAUUGGUGUGGUAGAGGGGUAGGUCAGGAUGAUUCUGCAAGCUUGUCUGUGAAGAAAUCCAGUGUUUUGGAUACCUCGUCUGCGUGGGCAACAAAUACUGCCAGAGAAGAUGCUGCAUCUGCCUGGGGGAAACAGCCAGUGAAAGAAAAAGCCACAUCUACAUGGGGCACAACUAUGGCAAGUGAAAAUGAUUGGUGUGGUAGAGGAGUAGGUCAUGAUGAUUCUGCAAGCUUGUCUGGGAAGAAAUCCGGUGUUUUAAAUACCUCAUCUGUGUGGGCGACAAAUACUGCCAGAGAAGAUGCUACAUCUGCCUGGGGGGAAAAUCCAGCAAAAGAAAAUACCACAUCUACAUGGGGGACAACUACGGAAAGUGAAAAUGAUUGGUGUGGUAGAGAGGCAGGUAAAGUUGAACCAGUAGACUUCCAGCCUACAAAACCCCAGGAUGAUUCUGCAAGCUUGUCUGGGUGGGAUUCACCUACCAGAGAUGGGAAUUCUGGUGAACGAAAUCAUCAGUGGGGACAGCAUCGUGGAGACCAAACAAAGAAAAGUCGUUUUGAAGGUGCAAAGAAUUGGGUUUCAAGUCCUGGGGAAUGGAAGAAUAAGAACCGUCCUCCUAAGUCGCCUGGAAUGGUGAAUGACAAUUCUACCAUGGGUGCAUUAUAUACUGUAACAAGACACAGAUUGGAUAUGUUCACUUCCGAGGAGCAUGUUCUUUCUAAUAUUGAGCCAGUUAUGCGCUCCCUCCGAGGAUAAUGCAUCAAUCUGGGUACAAUGAUGGGGAUCCACUGUCAGGUGACGAUCAAUCGUUUGUACUUGAUAAUGUCUUCAAUUACCACCCGGAUAAAGCAGCUAAAAUGGGUUGUGGAAUUGAUCAUCUCACAGUUAAUAGGCAUGGUAGUUUCCAGGACAGCAGAUGCUUCUUUGUUGUGUCAACAGACAGUCGUACGGAAGAUUUUUCAUAUUGGAAUAUGUAAAAUAAUUAACUGCUGUCCUCGUCUUCUUACAGCUGCUGGAAACUCUUCAUCUUCCAACAGUUGUAUUGUCUUGGUACUGUAAAAACCUUUAUUAAUUCUAACGACUGUGAAAGGCUUGCCUAUAUAUGCAGCCUGUUGUACUGAUAUCUAUAUGAUGAAUAAGAAUCUCAAACUCCACCGGGGACGUAGGCUCAAAAUUGCCGAACCUCGUUAAACUUGUGGUGUUCUGUUUUCUUCUUUCUCUGAUUUCUACAUGGGAUCAGAGCAGGACCUUUGAAAAUCCUGUCUCUGUCUUCUCAAUGGGUGAAAUUCUUCUGGGAGAGCUUUUGUCUUUUCCGGCGAAUCCGAUGGGAAUCCCAAUCUUCACCUUUGUUCAGUUCUUCUAAAUGGAUUUAACUAUAUUCCUUGGUCAAGAGCUGUCAGUUUGGCUCUUGGAGGAAGAUCGAAACUUGGCUUCAUCAAUGGAAAUAUUCCUGCACCUGCUGUUGAUGAUCCAAAGUAUGAGGAUUGGUUGUACAAGGAUCAACUUGUCAUGUCUUGGUUGCUCAACUCUAUGGAGCCUCAAGUUGCUGAGAUUUUCAGGUUUUUUAAUUCUGCGCAACGUCUUUGGACUGCUGUCAAAGAAAUGUAUGGAAAUCAAAAUAAUGCAGCCAGGAUUUUUCAACUAAAGAAGGAUAUCGCUGGGGUAUAUCAAGAUGGAAAACCUUUUAUUGAACAUCUGGGAAAGCUUAAAGGCAUGUGGAAUGAGCUAGAUCUUUACAGACCACAUACUGCUUAUUCAGCCACCCUUCUGAAAAGGGCUGAAGAGGAUAAAAUUUUCCAACUCUUGGCAAGUUUGGAUCCAGAUUAUGAAGACUUACGCAGUCACAUUUUGAUGAGUGCUGAAAUGCUUUCUUUCAAUACUGUUUGUACUACUAUUCAACGAGAAGAGGUAAGGAAGAAAGUCAUGAAUGUAGAAACCAAAUCAGGCGCUGGAAGUUCUGAAUCUAAAGCUUUUGUAGCUGGUGCUAAAAAACAAGCAAGCAAAAAUUUCAAAGGAAAAAAAGGCAAUCUGGAGUGUAGUCAUUGCGAACAAAAAGGUCACACCAAGGAUGGGUGUUGGAUUCUCCACCCUCAUUUGAAACCAAAAUUUGGAAAGGAAGGUAAGAGAGAACAAAAACACAGUGCCAAUCAAGUUUCUGCUGCUGAUGAUUUUGAAAAAUUUACUACCAACCCUUCAGCUUUUCUUGGUGAGUUUGCUGCGUAUCUCCACCAAAAAAAUGAGAAUCCCAAUCAUAAAAUUGAUGCAAGUGUCUCUAAUAAUGCUGGAGCAAAUCUAGCCUCAAACUCUGCUCCUCUUCUUGGACAGUUUGCUAAUUUUCUUCAACAAUAUGGAAAGUCCUCUACUUCUGAUGUCUCAGGUAUUGUCAAAGCCUUUGUGACUGCACUUAUUUCUAGCGCUAUGUCAAAUGUUUGGGUUAUAGAUUCGGGAGCCACCGAUCACAUGACGAAUAAAAAACAGUAUCUUUGUGAUUUUAAGAAUUUCACUAAGGCUUACUUUGUCUCUGUAGCUAAUGGUACUGAUGUCUCAGUUUUGGGCCAAGGGAAGGUUAAAUUUCUUGGUACAGAUGUUGAGUCUACUGCCUUAUAUGUGCCAUCGUUCCCUUUUCAGUUAUUGUCAAUAGGAAGACUGACAAAUUCCUUAAACUGUGAUGCCAUUUUUUCUCCUUUUAAUGUGAUUUUUCAGGAUCGAAUUACCAAGAAGAAGAUUGGUGAAGGUGUUUACUCAAAUGGAUUGUAUCUUCUUCAUCAUUUUCCUAACAACUCAAGAGGGCUCCAAGUCAAUUCUCUCCCAAAUCGUGUUUUGUGGCAUCAACGUCUGGGACAUCCCUCUGAAUCUGUUUUGUCAAGCUUAUUUCCAGCACUAGAUAAGACAUCCCAAGAUUGUGAGAUUUGUCAUUUUUCAAAGCAGACACGUCUGCCAUUUAGUCAUUCAUUGUCAAAAACCACCAGACCUUUUGAGAUUGUUCACUCAGAUGUAUGGGGGCCAGCACCCUUAGAAUC